rnacentral:lncRNA from 1 species
UUUAGUAAAGGUUGGAAGUGGUAAAUUUCUUUUUCUUUUCCGUUUUUUACGACCCAGUGCUCUACAGCGAAUGAGCUCAAUCAUUGUUUAUAUGAGAAAACAAUGCAAGGGAAGAAGCGAAAAAGGAAAACUGGGAGAAGAAGACGAAGAAUUGGUGGGAGAUUUCUCUUUUUUUUUUACUGUUUUUUUUCCUCUCUUUUGCUCCUCUCUUUUGCUCGAAUCUUCGCUGGGGAGGCGAGCGGGCGCCAUGGAUUGAGCGCCCAAAUGAUCGAAGCGGCGGCCUUGAUGGCGAGAGCGUCUUGAUCGAAGCUUUCCUGGCUUUUGGGUUGGAUGGUGUUCUUGCGUUUCAGUUUUCUGGGGUUUUUGGCUGUGGCGGACAAGGCAACGAAGAAGAAGAAGAAUGCUUAUCAGUGCUGCCACUGCUGCUGN